rnacentral:rRNA from 1 species
ACGCUCGACACCUACGGGAGGCAGCAGUGGGGGGAUAUCGCACAAUGGGGGGAAACCCUGAUGCAGCAACGCCGCGUGAAGGAAGAAGGUCUUCGGAUUGUAAACUUCUGUCCUCAGGGAAGAUAAUGACGGUACCUGAGGAGGAAGCUCCGGCUAACUACGUGCCUGCAGCCGCGGUAAUCUGAGCGGGCUGGCAAGGC